GACGAACGCUGGCGGCGUGCUUAACACAUGCAAGUCGAACGGAAAGGCCCUGCUUUUGUGGGGUGCUCGAGUGGCGAACGGGUGAGUAACACGUGAGUAACCUGCCCUUGACUUUGGGAUAACUUCAGGAAACUGGGGCUAAUACCGGAUAGGAGCUCCUGCUGCAUGGUGGGGGUUGGAAAGUUUCGGCGGUUGGGGAUGGACGCGCGGCUUAUCAGCUUGUUGGUGGGGUAGUGGCUUACCAAGGCUUUGACGGGUAGCCGGCCUGGGAGGGUGACCGGCCACAGUGGGACUGAGGUACGGCCCAGACUCCUACGGGAGGCAAGAGUGGGGAAUAGUGCACAAUGGGCGGAAGCCUGAUGCAGCACCGCCGCGUGCGGGAUGACGGCCUUCGGGUUGUAAACCGCUUUCGCCUGUGACGAAGCGUGAGUGACGGUAAUGGGUAAAGAAGCACCGGCUAACUACGU
rnacentral:rRNA from 1 species